rnacentral:rRNA from 1 species
CCUACGGGUGGCAGCAGUGAGGAAUAUUGGUCAAUGGACGAGAGUCUGAACCAGCCAAGUAGCGUGAAGGAUGACUGCCCUAUGGGUUGUAAACUUCUUUUAUAUGGGAAUAAAAUGUUCCACGUGUGGGAUUUUGUAUGUACCAUAUGAAUAAGGAUCGGCUAACUCCGUGCCAGCAGCCGCGGUAAUACGGAGGAUCCGAGCGUUAUCCGGAUUUAUUGGGUUUAAAGGGAGCGUAGGUGGAUUGUUAAGUCAGUUGUGAAAGUUUGCGGCUCAACCGUAAAAUUGCAGUUGAAACUGGCAGUCUUGAGUACAGUAGAGGUGGGCGGAAUUCGUGGUGGAGCGGUGAAAUGCUUAGAUAUCACGAAGAACUCCGAUUGCGAAGGCAGUUCACUGGACUGCAACUGACACUGAGGCUCGAAAGUGUGGGUAUCAAACAGGAUUAGAUACCCGAGUAGUC